CUAGGGGAAGAACGAGGAAGAAGAGGAGGUGAUUGAAGGAGACGAUCGGUUCAUUCAAAGGAGGAAAUCAAGCAAGGAUUUAAUAUUUGCCGAAAUCUAUUAAGAAAGGAGCCAAGAAGGAGACAAGGGGAAGGGAAUACAGAAGAAAAAGCAAAAGGUAGUAACUCUUUUCCUUUAAUGUGAUUGUGUAUUGAUUGCCACAUGCUUGGAUGUGCCUUUAUGUUGAUUGUGCAUGAGAACAUGUAAGUUGCCUUUGCAUGAUAAUAAUUGUCAUGACAAUAUGCGCUGGUUUCCAUUUAUUUUGGAAUGUGGGCGCAAUAGCUAGCGAUUGGCUAUAUGGGUGUAUGGUGUAUGUGCAUCAUUGAUUAUGUUUGGAUGCAAGGUGUUGUUCUCUUUGGCCUGUGUAGCAUGUUGUUUGUGAUCUUGUAUGAUUACGUGAAGGAAAUUUGUUACUACUGAGAUUCUUUAGAAUCUCACCCCUUCUUCCAU